rnacentral:rRNA from 1 species
UACGUAGGUGGCAAGCGUUGUCCGGAAUUAUUGGGCGUAAAGAGCGCGCAGGCGGUCGUUCAAGUCGAGUGUGAAAGCCCCCGGCUCAACUGGGGAGGGUCACUCGAUACUGAUCGACUCGAAGGCAGAAGAGGGAAGCGGAAUUCCCGGUGUAGUGGUGAAAUGCGUAGAUAUCGGGAGGAACACCAGUGGCGAAGGCGGCUUUCUGGUCUGCUCUUGACGCUGAGGCGCGAAGGCUAGGGUAGCAAACGGG